AUGCAAGCGUGAUGUGUGCCGGGCUGGGGGGUGGAGAGAGGCUCCCCCUCCCGCCUUAAAGCUUCACUUAGCCAGAAAUGAACAUGUACCCUUUCAAAAGAGCUUCUUCCCUGUUUCCAAUCGCCCCACCGCACCGGGAUCUCCCUCAGCCUCACCCGGAGCUCCCUCUGCCCCCGCCGCCCAGCCUGGCUCCCUUCCCCGGCCCCUUACCCCGGCUCGGAGCCUAGAUUGUCCCAGCAUGAGUGACAUUGGCUUUCCUAAUGUAAUGACUUAUGAAAGAUAUAAUCAUGUGUUAAAUUGAAUCCUCCGCUUAACUGUUAAUGGUGUGCUCUGGGCACAUUUACGUAUUAGAUGCUAUGGUAACUAAUUACCACUAGAAGAAGGGAUAAUACACUUUCCAGACUUUGACAAAUAAUUAUGAGUGUUCACAUCCCUGCUAGCAGCAGUUGCAGCGGAUCUGCUGGAAUGAGUAAGUGAAUAAAUGAAUGGGCCGGACUGAUCCUGAGGCUCUGAGCAAUGGGCGAAGCUCCUUGUCGGAGCGGGACAAAAGUUUGGGCAAGUCGCUCUGGGCCCCUGCGCGGGUUCGCUGAUGCCCGUGGGGCCCGAUCCCGCCUGGGAGAGCUCCGGCACCAGCGGAGCCCACGGAGGGCGCAGGGCAGGCUCUCCCUGAAGCGCUGUGCCCGGCUCAGGCCGGCGCCGCAGGGGUUAAGCCGACUGUGCCCGCUCCGCGCUGCCAUCCCGCCGGAGCCGGAGCCGGAGCGGGCACGGCUGCCCCGGCCCCCAGCCCCACGCGGGGGCUCCUCGCAGCCCUCCACGCCGCAGAGAGGACAUCUGCUAAAUGAGCACAGGGCUGCAGCCAGCACCGUCUACCCCCGGUCACUCAUCAGCUCGGUGUCACCCAGCCCGCCCACACCCGCCCCCGAAGCGCUCCGGAGGGGAAUCUGGUCUGGUUCGGCUCGUUCUCCAGCCUCGGGAAGGGUUAAAUCCUUCCCCAAGCCCCUAGUUGCCCUUGUCCUCUCAACCUGAUUCAGAGACGUGUAAUAAAAUAGGAAGCAAAUUUAUGGUCUGUUUCAAGCACUUUACUGCUGUAUUUUUAAAUUCAUAUAUGCACAUAUAAGAACUAUGAUCUGUGAAUAAUUUGAAAUGCUAUAGGAAAAUGAUGUAUUUUAGAUCAAACAUAACCGUUUUCUUACGUAAUUGUCUCGGAUUAAAAUAAAAAAAUAAAGAUACAUUUCGAAGAGAGACAAAGCUGAAAAUCUAAUGACAGCCAUAAACUGCUAGACAGCCAUAAAUUAACGUCUUCAUCAAACACUGAAGGGAUCAGUGCUUGUCUAAAUCAACAAUUAUUUCUUCCGAGAAGUUGCAGAACAGAUUGCCCCUUUAAUACUAUUUUUAAAUCUUCAUAAUUGAGGAUUAGGGAAAAACAAUCGCCUUUCCAGAGUAAACCUCCUCUCCACCAGCCGAAGCCAUCCAAACUCACCGAACACCCAGACUGCUUCCCUGGGAACCUCCUCGGGGGUCCCGUCCCCUUGACCCACUGCAGCAUCCCUGGGAGCUCGUGUUAGGAAAGGGCAUGCAGGAGUCUUUCCUCACCCCCCUCUCCCCUGAUUUUUGUCGCAGGCCGGGGGAGGUGGGAGCGCCGGGAGCACAAGCCGGCGGCGGGAGCCCGGCGGGCAGCGGGCGGGGAUGCGGGGAUGCAGGGAUGCGGGAAUGCGGGUCCCGCCGCCGCCGCGGGCCGGGGGCAUCCCGGAGCGGCAGCAUCCCCCGGUGCUUCCACCAGCAGCUCAACUAACGCUCAUCCGCUUUCCAGGUUCAAAGCUUUAGCGAGGCGGCACUUCUCCCAGCUGCAGCCACCUGCGAAGCCGGUUUUGCAAGAGGCUGCUGUAAAGAAUUCAUUUUUUAAAGGCAACUGAAAGAUACGUUGUGAAGAGAGGCGAUUCACUGGCUCGCAAGAUGGAAAUUAGACAGGGAGAGACUUGCUGCCUGUAGGAGAUUAGCGAGCGACUAAACUGUUUGGAAGAAAGAGGUAGUUGGAAAGAUGAGCUGAUGGGGAAGAAGUCGCUGUCAAAAGUCAUCACAGGGUGUUUGCCUACUGACUUUUACUCUCCCUGUAGCCAGAACUUAGACUUUUAUUCAACUUUUCUGUACUCAUAGCUGCUGGUUUUGGGGAAAAGAAAAAUAAACCGACACAUUAGUGUCAAAAUGGGUUUAACAAAUCUUUGAAGAUAGAAAGAAUCCUGCAAGGGUUCUAGCCAGAACAGCUGAAGCUUAGGCUACUUUUGAUUAUUUAUUUUGGUGUGAAUAGUUUUGAAGACGAGCACAUUUCUACUAUUCUGAAUGAUGUACUCAUACAACCUCAGUAAAUGAGAUCCCAGGAAAGCCUGAUGCAGAGAAUAAACACAGAACUGGUUUAUAUGAGGAUCAACACCCCACCAGAGCUUCCUUGCUUUCACUUUAAAAUGAAACAUUGUUUACUUUUUAAAUAUGCUAUUAUAUAUAUUUAUUUAUUUAUAGCUAAUUAUAAACAUAGACAAUAACUUAAGGAUCAUGAUACUUUCAUAAACAUACCUUUGAGGGGUGUUUUUGUAAUGAGAUAAUUUUUCUGCUAUGUAGUAGGUAUGGAGACAUGACUAGCCAGAGUACAUAGGCUGGUUUAGGUAGUAGACAGGAAAAUACUUCACUUUCUAUGGUCUGGCAGCUAGAAUAGUUCUAUUCAUAUGAGUUAAGCAUAUGCAUAAUUUGAUACCUUGAACAGUUUUAAAAUACAGUGCUAUACAAGAAACAUCAAAUAAAAUACUAGAUAAAAUACAGUGCUAGGGGAUCUCACAAACUCCUUCCUUUCGAGCUAUCUUUCAGACCAUUAUGGAAAGCUCACUCAGAAAUGUGCCCUUUAAGAAAUCUCAAACAAUGUCACUUUUUAAUGUAUAAAUUUCAAUAACUUCUAAUGUAGCCUGGAGAAUUAGAACAAUUGCACAGCUACACACACAUUUACCAAACUCAGAAAAUGCUGCAGGUCUGUCUUCUCUAGGAAGCAUCUUCAGUAACCCUUGCAGACAUACCUGACAAGUAUUUCUGCAUGAAGGAAUGGAGAAACACCGAUGUCUUUAGGGUACAGCCUUCCUAUUAAAUACCUGGAGAACUCAGCAGCUACAGUGAUACCUAGAAAAGCCAAGUUGUGCUUUGCUGGUGCAGUGCUGUGCAUCAUAACAAUUUCAUUCAUAUCCCCUUUUAAAAUGAAUGAUCUGUGAAGACAGAAUAUUUUACUUUAGGUAGUACAUCUUGUACAACAUGGAGGUUUGCAAAAGUAAAAGCCUAGGAGUUGUACUUAGGAAUCACUAGUGAACUGCAGAUCUUUAUAUUAAUUUUGAAUGAUGUCCUAAGAAUGUCAGAAGUACCACUUUUUUAUCUCACCUGAUGAGAACUGGCUUAUGUUUCCUGGUGGGGGGGGGGUGUAAUAAAAAAGACACGAUACUUUCUAAUACUCAGAGGAGUUUCUGUAUUUCACUACUGAGUUAAAGGCUUUUUUUUUUUAAUUACAGAAAUACCUGUCAAGAUCAAGUAACAGAAAAAUGUAGUAUGUAAAAAUAAUAAUUUAAAAAUUAAAGCAAUAGUUGUGAAUCUGUGAGAAAAGUAUAAGCAUAAGCUGGAAAAAAUACCACACACAAUAAUUCAGUAUUAAAAUAGAUAUAUUCCUUUUUAUUGUGCCCUUAAAAUACAAAAUUCCUUUAAGAUGUUAGAUUACUAAAAUAAUGAAUUUUCUAUUUUCUUGCUCAGGAGUACCUUAGUUGAUCUAGGAACUUGAACAAUGGAUAUUAACUGUUAAAGUGGAACCUAGCCAUUGUUCAUCUAUAUACAAAUUGUGAGUUUGCAAAAUUAAGAGCACUUCACAAUCUCUUGAAUGACCAUUCAAUAAUGACAAAAUAAAAGAUCAUGUAAAAUUCUACAAGAAAAAUUCACAGACCAGUAACUAUUCAUAAAAAUAGCAAUGCCAAAAAUAGUGACGUGCAGCUGGCUUAAAAGCAUAAAGAACAACUCUUACAUGGUUUUAUAUUAUUACAUUAGGACAUAUUGACAGAUAUGAAAAUCUAAUUUGCAAACAGGUACACAUAUAGUAGAUGGUUUCCUAAAUAAUGGAACAUUUUAAAAAGUUUACAAUAGCAUCUAGCAGUACUAAGUGCCAGCAUGAAAAUGGAGAACAUUCAAUCUGUAAAUUAAAAUAAGAAGAAUAAUUAAAAAACUAUGUUUUAGCAUUCACAUGAUAAAUUAACUUUCUUCUUGGGUGCUAUAAAGGGCCAGACUGACUUAAUAAACCUAUUUUUUUAAUGAGAAAAAAGGUGCUUAUAUAUAUAUUUUUAAUAGCAGAAGAUAGUAUUGAUACAGCUAUAGACACCAACAACUCACAGUCAGUGAGUAGUUGGUAGUGACCAGCCGAGUCACAUCUCAGACUGAUGGGUGAGUGCACCAAUUCCUCAGGGAACAGCAGAGGAAUUCAGGGGUACCCAUGUGCUCCUCCUGCCUGAUCCUGCACUGCCAGGUCUGUGCAUGCCCCCAGAAGGCACGGCUGGGCUGGCAGGGCAGAUCUCUCUGCUGAAGUGGAGAGGUGGGAGAGGGAAGCCCAGGUCUGCCUCCUCCCACCCUGCCCUGCAGCCCCACUGAACGCUGGCAAAGGGAGCUGCUCUUUCUGCCUAGAUGACUGUGCCUCUUUGUGCUCCAGUGACCCACACUCAGAGCUGCACAAUCCUGGGUCCUGCAGCACAGGAGGUCAUCAAAAAGGGUCUUGUACCCUAUGCAAUGAAACAUGCUCUUCUUGGCACAGCACCCUGCAGCUAGCUUGGCUCCAGCUGGGACUUUUGGGGAUGCUACUCCCUGUUGCGCUGUCUCAGCUUAUUGACCAGGAAUGCCAACACCAUGGGCCUUUCAGUCCUGCUCCAUGGAGACUGAGUCACUCCUGGUCAGACCAGCUGCUGCCCCUCAGUAUGUCCCCUCCUCAGUGGCUGAAUACAUGGACCAGAAGGGCUUAACCUCCCUGUCCAGCUCCAGCUCUCACGGCUUUACAUGGGGUGAGGCUUUCUUCCUCAGCAGCUGAGGUGUGCCAAGGUAGUGAUGCACUGCUUACCAGCCAAACCAAUCUACCAGGAGCCUGCGUUACCAGGGACACAAUUCCGGGCCAGGCUGGGCAGACCCUGCCUUGCAUUUGAUUAUUUUGGUUCUUGAGCAAAAAGAGCAAGCAUUUUUAACCCAGCAGAAUGCUGGUCUCUUGUGUGGUGCUCUCUAACUCUGAUGCAAGGUCUCCAAGCACCUUCAUAGAGGUUUCAUCCAACUCCUAGAAAAGACUCUGACCCUUUUCUCUCUCUUUUUUUUUUUAAUGGAGCAUACCAUACAGAUUUAAUUUGCUACUAUAGCAUAUAGCAUAUAUUAUGGAGAUAAUCUAGUUCUUCUUUUAAUUUCAGAAUAGAUACCAUACAAAUUGAUCAGCAAUUAAUCUGAAACUACUAAUUAUUUGCAUGUACUUUUGGCACAGUCCUAUUAUGCCCUAUCAAAUUAUGCAGCAGCCAGUGAUACUCUAAUUCAAAAUCCUAAAAAUAGAAUACAAUUAUAAAGAGGCUUCUGUUUAAAACAAAUACCCACUGUUUUUUUUUGCAGUUGCUUCAGGUUUGUUUUAAAGUUGGAUGCCAAAGAAGGAUUCAUCAUAAUUAUAGCAUGAGACAUUUUACAGCUUACAUAUAAGCAAUAAUGGAAUACAAUCAACAGUGUAAUGAUAUCAACAUUCCCUCUCUCAAUAAACCAGGCUCUAAUGUCCAAAGUGGAUUGUGAGCUACAGCUGAGUACAGAAUAGCUUCUACAGAGCAGCCACAGGAGUAAGUAACCUGAGUACAAGAAUGUCUCCAUAAAAACCAAUUUUACUUUGUGGCACAAAACAAUAAUCAGAUUUUGCUGUUGAUUAAAUGUGGAAGUAAAGUUAAAGCAUUUAAUCAACUGCAAAGUCCGUUCAAUGUAAGUGUACUCCUAAUUUGUAGACAUUAUUGAUACUAUAUAUGAAGAGAAAAUGUUUAUACGAUAUAUCUCAAAAAAACACUAUUUCAUUCAUGGAGGACUUGGAAUGUGGCUAUACCAACCUCUGAAAGUCUUUCUACUGAUGAUGACACUUAUUUAGGGUAUGUGCUUUACACAAAUAACUGAACAGGCUUCUACAAAAACAACAAUAAGUAAUUCUUAGUAUGUAGGUAGUAGUUUUCAUCCAUAGGCCAUCAAGUGCCAUAUAGAUUAGUAGAAUUUCUGAUUUUGAAAGACUUACUCUGCCACAUCCCAAAGAGAGUUGUUUUUUUAGGAAGACAAGGCAAGGCCCACAGAUGUGGCUAUUCUGCCAUUACAAUUAUCAUCUUGGCAAACUGAGACUGGACAGCCACGGGAAUCCUCACCAAUCUCUGAAGUGAUGGCUGGGAAGAGAGACAGGGUCUAAACUCUCAGAUUUUGUGCACUAGGAAAUUAAUUUUCCAAACAAGAGCUGGGCACCCAGUGAAGCAGGUUGGGCAGCCAGGAUAAACUUCUGUGGCUGCCCAGGGUUUUCACUUGCUCAAAUUUUGGCCCCAGGGAAGAGCCUGUUUUCCAAUUUGCAGAUGGACAAGUCUGUUUCCAAACACAGGUCACACUACUCUGCCUAACAACUUAGGCAAGGUAAAACAAUGUUAAAAAGCAUUUUUAGAUACCAGACUUGCCCUUGAAACUGUCUUCCUCUUUUGUCUUUUUGGAGAAAUGAACAAACUUAAGAAACGGUCAAAACAAAUGCAUGAACAUGUUACUAAGAAACAGUGAGAGAAAGAGAAGCUAAUUUUCGAAGUGAUAAUUUCAAAUGGGCUUCUAUAUUUUCUCCCUGAAGAACAUGCUUUUUUGGGGGGGCUCAAGAGCCAAAAUAGAUAAUUUAGGCUUGAUCGAGAGCCUAUUAAAAUCAACAGAACUUCUCUUCUGAUGUUAAAAUGAUUGCAGGAAAGAAAUCACAUGUUUUAAAUUUUUAACUGCACCAAAAAAAAAAAAAA